rnacentral:tRNA from 1 species
GGGCCCGUAGCUCAAUGGACAGAGCAACGGCCUUCUAAGUCGUAGGCUGAGGGUUCGAAUCCCUCCGGGCCCG